UACGGAGGGUGCAAGCGUUAUCCGGAUUCACUGGGUUUAAAGGGUGCGUAGGCGGGCAGGUAAGUCAGUGGUGAAAUCUCCGGGCUUAACCCGGAAACUGCCGUUGAUACUAUCUGUCUUGAAUAUAGUGGAGGUGAGCGGAAUAUGUCAUGUAGCGGUGAAAUGCUUAGAUAUGACAUAGAACACCAAUUGCGAAAGGCAGCUCGCUACACU
rnacentral:rRNA from 1 species